rnacentral:lncRNA from 1 species
UGGCAAAGGACCCUAAAUGCAGGUUAUGAAGUAGCUAUGGAAUUUGAAUGGGUUGAUUCUUCAGCUCCCAGAAAAAAACUUUGAUUGGUUUAACUGGCCACAGUAAUUGAUGUGGGAAUGAGGCCCUGACAUAAUUUCAACUUAGAAGACAUGUUCACUGGAAGUGAACUAGGAAGCAUGAAGUCUCAGACAUUCGACACUGA